GAUUAAACCGUACGAAGUGAACCUGGAAACAAAGAGGAAACUAAAGUCAGUAUUGCCGGACUUAAAAAGACAGGAAGCCCUGGCAGUCACCCUGGAGUUCACCUCUCCUGCCUUUGACAAGUCCUGGGACUUGGGACUCUCGUGUCUUGGACCUGAAAGAUUAAAUUCUUCAGCCUCCCAUAGGCAGAGCACAUCUGUUGGAACCUACUUCUUCAGGAUUCCAGCUUACAUGAACCACCAGCUGAAGCAACUAGCCUUGUGGGACUGAGAAACUACUAAAUCCUUGGACUUCACUUUCACAACUUCCCAUUGUCGGGUUAGUUGGAUUACAGUCUGUCAACACCAUGGUUCAACUUCAAGUCUUCAUUUCAGGCCUCCUGCUGCUUCUCCCAGGUGCUGUGGCUUCUUAUACGGUAGUGCAGGGUCACUCUGUCACACUUCCGUGUAUCUAUUCAACAACAUACCGUGAUGAAAUGGUUCCCACAUGUUGGGGUCGAGGGGAAUGCCGCUCUUCUUAUUGUACAAGGUCACUUAUCUGGACCAAUGGUUAUAAGGUCACAUAUCAGAGGAGCAAUCGAUACCAGCUAAAGGGGAAUAUUUCAGAAGGAAAUGUGUCCUUGACCAUAGAGAACACUGUUGUGAGUGACAGCGGUCCUUACUGUUGUAUAGCAGAGAUACCUGGAGCAUUCUAUUUUGUCGACUAUCUGUUGGAGGUUAAAGCAGAACUUCCAACAAGUCCCCCAACAAGACCCACCAAUACAGGAAGACCAACAACUACAAGACCCACAAAUACAGGAAGACCAACAACUACAAGACCCACAAAUACAGGAAGACCCACAACUACAGAAAGACCCACAACUACAGGAAGACCCACAACUACAGAAAGACCCACAACUACAGGAAGACCCACAACUAUUUCAACAAGAUCCACACAUGUACCAACAUCAACCAGAGUCUCUACCUCUACUCCUCCAACACCAGAACAAACACAGACUCACAGAUCAGAAGCCACUACAUAUUAUCCAGAUCAGACAACAGCUGAGGUGACAGAAGCCCCAUCCCAUACUCCUACAGACUGGAAUAACACUGCAACAUCCUCAGAUGACUCUUGGAAUAGUGACACUAAGCUGCAGAGAAACCCGACUAAGGGCUUCUAUGUUGGCAUGUCCUUUGCAGCCCUGCUGCUGCUGCUGCU
rnacentral:lncRNA from 1 species